rnacentral:rRNA from 1 species
UACGUAGGGGGCAAGCGUUGUUCGGAAUUACUGGGCGUAAAGGGCGCGUAGGCGGCACGGCAAGUCAGGAGUGAAAGCCCUGGGCUCAACCCAGAAACUGCUUUUGAAACUGCCGAGCUAGAGUGCGGAAGGGGCAACUGGAAUUCCCAGUGUAGCGGUGAAAUGCGUAGAUAUUGGGAAGAACACCUGAGGCGAAGGCGGGUUGCUGGGCCGACACUGACGCUGAGUGCGCGAAAGCAUGGGGAGCGAACAGG